UUACGGUCAUAUCACGUUGAAACACCGGUUCCCGUACGAUCGGCGAAGUUAAGCAACGUCAAGCCUGGCCAGUAUCUAGAUGGGUGAUCACUUGGGAAUACAAUGUGUUGUAAG